GCUGGGCAUGGUGGAGCAUGCCUGUAACUCCAGCAGCUCAGGAGGCAGAGGCAGGAGGAUUGCAAGUUCAAAGCCAGCCUCAACAAUCACUAAGCAACUCAGUGAGACCCUGCCUCUA
rnacentral:sRNA from 1 species